rnacentral:rRNA from 1 species
GCUCGACACCUAAGGCAGCAGUUGGGAAUAUUGGACAAUGGAGGAAACUCUGAUCCAGUGACGCCGCGUGAAGGAAGAAGGUCUUCGGAUUGUAAACUUAUUUUGUCAGGGAAGAAAAAUGACUGUACCUGAAGAAAAAGCACCGGCUAACUACGUGCCAGCAGCCGCGGUAAUCUGAGCGGGCUGGCAAGGC